rnacentral:lncRNA from 1 species
UGGUGAGGAUUUGACAACUAUUGUCUUCCAUUAUCUUCGAAGGGUCUUUGAACUUGUGCAGAGCUCCUCUGCUAGAUAGAUAAGAGAAUUGGGGUACUCGGUUUCGCCCAUUCUCUUAAGAGUUGAGAAGGCAAAGGUUACUUGACUUCGCCCGCCUCCUCGAGGUUGUACUUCAUGCAUCGAGCUGGUUACUAGCCUUCGCCUACUCUUUUCUCACACUUCUGAAGCACUUGAAGUGUUUGCACUCCUUGCAUUGAGUUAGUUACUGUGAUUCACCUUCUCAAAGCCAUUGAACUUCUGGAAUGCAGGAAGUUUUCACCCCAACUUGGAGUAAUU